rnacentral:rRNA from 1 species
AGAGCGAACGCUGGCGGCAGGCUUAACACAUGCAAGUCGAGCGCCCCGCAAGGGGAGCGGCAGACGGGAGAGUAACACGUGGGAACGUACCUUUCGGUUCGGAACAACCCAGGGAAACUUGGGCUAAUACCGGAUACGCCCGCAAGGGGAAAGAUUUAUCGCCGGAAGAUCGGCCCGCGUCUGAUUAGCUAGUUGGUGAGGUAACGGCUCACCAAGGCGACGAUCAGUAGCUGGUCUGAGAGGAUGAUCAGCCUCACUGGGACUGAGACACGGCCCAGACUCCUACGGGAGGCAGCAGUGGGGAAUAUUGGACAAUGGGCGCAAGCCUGAUCCAGCCAUGCCGCGUGGGUGAUGAAGGCCCUAGGGUUGUAAAAGCCCUUUCGGCGGGAAGAUAAUGACGGUACCCGCAGAAGAAGCCCCGGCUAACUUCGCGCCAGCAGCCGC